AUUGAACGCUAGCGGGAUGCUUUACACAUGCAAGUCGAACGAGGGGCGGACGGGUGAGAAAUAUAUCGGAACGUGCCCAGUAGCGGGGGAUAACUACUCGAAAGAGUGUCAAAUCCCGUAUACUCUUGGAUAGGCCGAUAUCGGAUUAGCUAGUUGGUGGGGUAAAGGCUCACCAAGGCAACGAUCCGUAGCUGGUUUGAGAGGACGACCAGCCACACUGGAACUGAGACACGGCCCAGACUCCUACGGGAGGCAGCAGUGGGGAAUUUUGGACAAUGGGGGAAACCCUGAUCCAGCCAUCCCGCGUGUAUGAGAAGGCCUUCGGGUUGUAAAGUACUUUUGGCAGAGAAGCGGUAUCUGAAGAAUAAGCACCGGCUAACUCCGUGCCAGCAGCCGCGGUAAUUC
rnacentral:rRNA from 1 species